GGGUAGGGGUAGGGGCAAGCGGAAAGGGGUGGUGGGGCUGGAGGAGCUUGAGAUGGAGGGGCGGCUGGGGAAGAAGCGGGGCGGGGGGUAGGGGAGGGGCGUGCGGAAGGAGGACGUGCUGGAGUGGCUGGCGCGGCGUACAUGUGGAUGCGCCGGUGCCUCGGGCCGCCGGCCUUCCAGUUCACCUGCCGCCUCCUCUUCGGCGCGCCGCCCCCGGCCCGCGAGUUCACCCUCCGCCUCGAGCGGAGGGGCUUGCGGCCGGUCUCUACGCUUCAUAAACAAGUCUUUUAUUCUACCACGUAUAUAUUUCUGUAACACGCACGCUAACUGGCAGAUACACAGACGUUGCAACGGCGCAUAUCUACGCAACAACUGCACGGAACAUAGAGGUCCUACACACCGUUGCCGGAUCACAUAUGGUUACGUGAACUAAGUCCGCAUGCCUCCCUCGGCACAACACACAAGGUUAGCCUUUCGAUAGUCGGCGGUCGUGCCUAACAUAAGACAAAUCUCCAGCUCAAGCGUACGUGUGACGUAUGACAGCCCGGACCUUUAGAUGAGUUAUCUGAUGUUCCGCUUAACGAUGUAUUUGUCGUCUCUCUCUCGUACCCCUGCCGGACGGGGUGUAGGGUACUCCAUGGGUGACCGGACGGGGUCGAGGGGGUUCAGAGAAGGAACAGGUUUGGCCACAGCCACGGGAGACCAAGCAGCCCCACCUACGCGUAACUAGCCGCGGCUACGUACCGCCCAGCCCCGGGCCGAGGAAGGGGCCUAGCACCAGAGGAGCCAGGAGGAGGAAGGAGACACCACAACCUAGGCCUGCUACACCGCAGUGGCCAGCGACCAGGACUAACAGGAGGAGAGUCCGGCCCCGGCCGCGGCCACCGCCGCCAGCGCAGCCGCACACGCCCCCGCCUACCACCGGUUUGGGAUCUAGGCCCAACGGGACACCAGUUCCACCCGGAACCACCCGUGAACCCGGACCACCGCGGACCUAACUGAGCCCGACCCGGCGGGCCCGGGGGCCGAGGUAGGAGAGAGCUAAGAAAGGGAGGGGAGGGCAGACACCCGUGCCCCGUCAACCAUCACCGGUGACGUAGCGCAGGCAGGGGAGGGAACCGGGCGACAGGGUAAGGCCGGGUAAGCCGGGUGAGACCGGACCGGACAACAUCGAUAUAUACCCACGCGGCGCCACGGAGAGGGGGGAAGGAUCCCAAAGGCCGAAGGCGGCGACUAUAGGCGUCCCGCGUAGCAGGAUAGGCGGUAAAGAGGUCUAGGUGAAGAAGGGGUGGAGGAGAGGAGGAGAGGAAGCGACUUCACUAGCGGUACCUGUUCAGAUCCCCGAGGAGGAGACUCCGGGAAAGCCCAUCGUUCGCCCGGGCACUUCAAAGCGGCCCGUUACCACAGCUAGACCGGAUACUCCGCCUCGACACCAGCUUCGAGCUUAUACUCGUCCGCCGGGCGCUCGACAGCGCGCUCGCCCUCCUAACCCUCCGCCCCGGCCUCGCGAGGCACCGGUCUAGACCCUACCACGAGGGACCUAGACCACCACACAGCCCCAGCCCCGGCCUAGACACCCUCGGGCGACGACGAAGCAACCACCACCGAGUAGGAGCAGCCGCGACGCGGGGCGAGGCCGGUCCCCAGGCCAGGGAGGCGGAGCCGGUGGAGGAGCGAGCAAACGUCGACCGCGACGGAGAGCGAGCCCCGGCGCGAAGCCCGGACCGAGAAGGAGAAGCAACCAGCCCCUGGUCGCACGAGGAGGGAGACGAGGACCACGGAGAAGACGCCAGGCACCACUACCGUAGGACGGCGGCGGUGGAGGGGGAGAGGCGGUCGUAGGACAACGGAGCCCGGGAAGAGGCUGGGACU
rnacentral:rRNA from 1 species